rnacentral:rRNA from 1 species
CCUACGGGAGGCAGCAGUGAGGAAUAUUGGUCAAUGGGCGCUAGCCUGAACCAGCCAAGUAGCGUGAAGGAUGACUGCCCUAUGGGUUGUAAACUUCUUUUAUAUGGGAAUAAAGUGCAGUAUGUAUACUGCUCUGAAUGUACCUUAUGAAUAAGGAUCGGCUAACUCCGUGCCAGCAGCCGCGGUAAUACGGAGGAUCCGAGCGUUAUCCGGAUUUAUUGGGUUUAAAGGGAGCGGAGGCGGGUUGUUAAGUCAGUUGUGAAAGUUUGCGGCUCAACCGUAAAAUUGCAGUUGAUACUGGCAUCCUUGAGUACACUAGAGGUAGGCGGAAUUCGUGGUGUAGCGGUGAAAUGCUUAGAUAUCACGAAGAACUCCGAUUGCGAAGGCAGCCUACUGGACUGUAACUGACGCUGAUGCUCGAAAGUGUGGGUAUCAAACAGGAUUAGAUACCCCUGUAGUC